rnacentral:misc_RNA from 1 species
GACUUAGUUGAGUUAAGUUGAGUUUUUAUUUUCGUUCUCCUCCCACAUUUUAUCCAAAUUCCAAACAGAGGCUUACUUUGAUUUCUACAAGAACAUAAGAGACUUCAGUAAAAUAGGUCCUGUUUGUCCAAAUCUUCAAUGCUUAGAAUCUAGAAUUAGAAAAGCCAAGCGGCUUAAGAAUGAAAAUAGACAGUCUCUCUUAAUUCCUUUAUCUAAAAUUUGGUUAUUCUUGGACCUCUUUUUGGUUUGUAUAAGGUCACCUGUAACCCAAGAAAAAUAUAUAACAUCACAUAAUAGAGAACUUAAUAUUUCUGCAAACAUUUUAUAAUAUUUCCAUAAUUUUCUCUAGUUUCCACAAAUCUUAAGAAAAGUAAACAAAAAAUCUGACAUUUGAAGGUAAAUUCCACUAGGAAGCACAAAUUCUAGGAUGUUACGAUUUUAUUUACAGUGAACAAUUUAUAUAGGAACAUAAUAAAAUUUAAACAAAGCAAUUAAUAUGAAAGGCAAGAUUCAUACCACCACUACUGAGUUGCAGGUGUA